ACGCUGGCGGCGUGCCUAAUACAUGCAAGUCGAGCGGACAUAAUGGAGCUUGCUCCAUUAUGUUAGCGGCGGACGGGUGAGUAACACGUGGGCAACCUGCCUGUAAGACUGGGAUAACUCCGGGAAACCGGAGCUAAUACCGGAUAGUAUCUUGAACCGCAUGGUUCAAGUUGGAAAGACGGUUUCGGCUGUCACUUACAGAUGGGCCCGCGGCGCAUUAGCUAGUUGGUGAGGUAAUGGCUCACCAAGGCAACGAUGCGUAGCCGACCUGAGAGGGUGAUCGGCCACACUGGGACUGAGACACGGCCCAGACUCCUACGGGAGGCAGCAGUAGGGAAUCUUCCGCAAUGGACGAAAGUCUGACGGAGCAACGCCGCGUGAGUGAUGAAGGUUUUCGGAUCGUAAAACUCUGUUGUUAGGGAAGAACAAGUGCGAGAGUAACUGCUCGCACCUUGACGGUACCUAACCAGAAAGCCACGGCUAACUACGUGCCAGCAGCCGCGGUAAUACGUAGGUGGCAAGCGUUGUCCGGAAUUAUUGGGCGUAAAGCGCGCGCAGGCGGUUUCUUAAGUCUGAUGUGAAAGCCCCCGGCUCAND
rnacentral:rRNA from 1 species